CCCGCGAGCACCCAAGCUUCUAGGUCGAAAAUUCAUCUAUGAACAUCAAGAAUUCGCUUCCAUAGUUCCAUUGAAGAACCACGAGCAAUGAUCAAAUUCGCUCUGGCUCCUGCCAUGAAUCACGAACUUCGUACGCUUACUCCAUUGCCUGCAACACAUAGGAGAAUGAUGCCAUGGUCUCAUAAUCUUCCGCCGACCGAAAAGGAUCCACACGCAGACAACUUCAAUGUUCUCAUCGAGUCGACCUCAAUACAGAGACGUAAUCCAUCCUCAAGGUUCUCGCGCAUGAAAUAGCAAAACAAGGGACGAAGAACUUACCGUGUAUUGCAUGGAGAGAGAAUCAAGAUCCGUUUGCCUUUCACAUUGGUUUUCGUGACUCUGUAGCAGGUUUUUUUUUGGGAGAGGGAAGUCUUCAGGGUCUGAAGGAAGGUUGAGGAUGAAGAAUGAAGGGUUGAAGGUUGGAGAUUGAAGAAGAUGGAGGAAUCAAAAUUAUGUUGAAGAGGGAAAUGUGAAGUUGAAGAUGAAGGUCCAGCCCUCUACAGAAUGAAGGAUGAUUUUUUAUAUAGGGUCUGGGAAUCGUAAUCGAAUCGGGCAGCACGGGCAGCAGGUAACAAAGUUAGUUUACAUUCACAUUGAAAUGAAAUUGAGGUAUGAUAGUUAGUUAGGUUCAAUCUGUUAGUUAGACUCUAUUAAAUUCUGCAGUAAAUCAAUUUUCAAUUUCUGUUAGUUGGAAAAGGGGUUCAAUGCCCAAUUGGUGUGUAUUGUUGGAUUAUGCUAUAUCAUUGCCAUGUUAAUGGUUUGCUGUUAUUUUUUGUGGUUAUGACUAGUGUAUUAGGCUACCAAGAAACCGGACUAGGGUUUGGUUAGAAACAUUUGACACAGCUGAAGAUGUUGCAAUUGCAUAUGAUACAGCAUCAUAUAUACUAAGAAGUGAAUGUGCUCAGUUGAAUUUUCCUGAUUUAAAGCAUGUGAUUCGAGCGAAUUCGUUGAAUGGAACAAUUGCUUCACUUAUUGAAGCAAAACUUCAAGCAAUAUCACAACGAGGUGCUUCAUGGAAGGGACACUAACUUGGGAUGGAAGGAGAUGAUGAUAUGAAGUAUGAAGUCCAUGAAAAUGAUGGAUGAAAAUGAAUGUUUAAGAAAUAUAUUAGAACCUAGGUUACAAGUUAUCUUGUAUUAGUUUGGAUUGUAUACUAAAUGGAAAUUGUAGAAAUUAUAUGGUGGGUUUUGAAACGAUUUUGAAUGGAUUUAUGUAUGGAAAGUUUGGCCAA